UACGUAGGGGGCUAGCGUUGUCCGGAAUCAUUGGGCGUAAAGAGCGUGUGGGCGGUCCGGUAAGUCCGCUGUGAAAGUCGGGGGCUCAACCCUCGAAUGCCGGUGGAUACUGUCGGGCUAGAGUGCGGAAGAGGCGAGUGGAAUUCCUGGUGUAGCGGUGAAAUGCGCAGAUAUCAGGAGGAACACCUAUUGCGAAGGCAGCUCGCUGGGACGUUACUGACGCUGAGACGCGAAAGCGUGGGGAGCAAACAGG
rnacentral:rRNA from 1 species